ensembl:lncRNA
CGAAGUAGGUAUAAUGUGCGCACGAAAUAGUACCUAAUACUAUUAAUAUCAUUCCUGGACAGCUGGGUGAGCAAAUCGAACGCACCGUCUCUACAACCUGCAAUAAUCUGUGUACGGGGCUCCGCACCCUACGUGAUGUUCCUAAAAGGUCAGCUAUGGAUACUCGGCUGUGAGAAUUUUUGAUGGAGCGAAACUUGAAGAUGAGAAUAUUGAUGAAACUGUCAUUCCGUUAAUGACAGACAGUGACCUGGCAAAGUACAUCCCCAAAGUUGGAGAUAGAUUCUCCACUGUGGCUUUCUGCUGACAAGAAUCACUUACACAAAACUCACAAUCCAGGAAAGAAUCCAUACUCUCAAGGCUACGACAAAGACUGUCUGGAGCUGAGGGGAUGCCACCAAAAAAGAGAACAUCUAAGUGGGCAGGAAAUACAAAUGCCAAACGGAAGGUGAGACGAACUGAGGUUGGCUGGAUGGAUUUUUAUGAGGAGGAGCAGAGGUUCAAACAGGUGAAGUCUGUAAGUGGUGGAGGGACGAGGCAUCUCUCGAUUGACAAAGACGAAACAGUGGCAAAUAUCAAACUUAUGGCUGAAAAUCUUUUUUUCCCCAAAGGCCUUUCAAAAAAAAGCAGAAGUCUUUCACACUUCAACUCAUAUUGAGAGCUCACAGAUACAUGUUGAUAUGUCCAAUACAGUAGACCAGUUGUAUAAUCAAAGCAAGGUCAAAAUUCUGCGACUUUAUCUGUGCACCAAAAAGAAAACAGGACAGCAGCCCUCAGGAGUUGAGGUGAUCACACAUCAAGCCAGCCUUCAGUGGUAGAUCUCACUAACAAUGAACAGAAUCAGGCUGGUGAGGAUCUGUUGGUAGAAAACAGAAAUUCAGAAUCAUCAAACCACUAUGGAAUUAAUGAUGGAGCUUCCAGAAGUGAAGAUUUGGAACUGAACGACAUAUUACCAUGGGAUGGUCUGCCAACUGUGGGCGAAAGUGAAGAUUCUGAAGUUUUUAUUAUAAGUGGGGAUGACAGGCUGGAUGUAAGUGUGGAUGAACCAAACCUUGAAACACUCUUUCCAGAAAAAGAGGAUGAUGCACCUCAUCAAACUGUGGAUCUGUCAGCGGUGCAUGCAGGGGAGGCCAAUGUUCCAGCCCAAGCACUUCCUGAACCACAAUCUUGUCCUGUAACGCUGAUUGUAAGAAGAGGACACUGUCUCGCUGACUUGAUCAGUGCCUUCAAGGACCUAAACAUUAUUGCAUCUGAGGUCAACAUCAAAAUGCGUUUACCAAAUGGAGAGCUUGAAAAGGGGGAAGGAAGUGGUGUUUUGCGAGAC